UACAGAGGUCCCAAGCGUUGUUCGGAUUCACUGGGCGUAAAGGGUGCGUAGGUGGCAAGGUAAGUUUGAUGUGAAAUCUUCGAGCUCAACUCGGAAACUGCAUUGAAUACUAUCUUGCUUGAGGAUUGGAGGGGAGGCUGGAAUUCUCGGUGUAGCAGUGAAAUGCGUAGAUAUCGAGAGGAACACCAGUGGCGAAGGCGGGUCUCUGGGCCGAUACUGACGCUGAGGAGCGAAAGCGUGGGGAGCGAACAGGG
rnacentral:rRNA from 1 species